rnacentral:rRNA from 1 species
GACGGAAGGUGCAAGCGUUGCUCGGAAUCAUUGGGCGUAAAGCGCACGUAGGCGGCCGAUCAAGUCGGGUGUGAAAGCCCUGGGCUCAACCCAGGAAGUGCACUCGAAACUGACCGGCUUGAAUAUGGAAGAGGGUCGCGGAAUUCCCGGUGUAGAGGUGAAAUUCGUAGAUAUCGGGAGGAACACCAGUGGCGAAGGCGGCGACCUGGGCCAAUAUUGACGCUGAGGUGCGAAAGCGUGGGGAGCAAACAGG